rnacentral:rRNA from 1 species
CACGUAGGCACCAAGCGUUGUCCGGAUUUAUUGGGCGUAAAGAGCUCGUAGGCGGUUCGGUAAGUCGGGUGUGAAAACUCUGGGCUCAACCCCAGAGCCGCCACCCGAUACUGCUGUGACUCGAGUGCGGUAGGGGAGCGGGGGAAUUCCUGGUGUAGCGGUGAAAUGCGCAGAUAUCAGGAGGAACACCAGUGGCGAAGGCGCCGCUCUGGGCCGUGACUGACGCUGAGGAGCGAAAGCGUGGGUAGCAAACAGG